rnacentral:rRNA from 1 species
CCUACGGGAGGCAGCAGUGAGGAAUAUUGGUCAAUGGACGAGAGUCUGAACCAGCCAAGUAGCGUGAAGGAUGAAGGUCCUACGGAUUGUAAACUUCUUUUAUAAGGGAAUAAAACCUCCCACGUGUGGGAGCUUGUAUGUACCUUAUGAAUAAGCAUCGGCUAACUCCGUGCCAGCAGCCGCGGUAAUACGGAGGAUCCGAGCGUUAUCCGGAUUUAUUGGGUUUAAAGGGAGCGUAGGUGGAUUGUUAAGUCAGUUGUGAAAGUUUGCGGCUCAACCGUAAAAUUGCAGUUGAAACUGGCAGUCUUGAGUACAGUAGAGGUGGGCGGAAUUCGUGGUGUAGCGGUGAAAUGCUUAGAUAUCACGAAGAACUCCGAUUGCGAAGGCAGCCUGCUGGACUGUAACUGACGCUGAUGCUCGAAAG